GUCAAAAAGAUCAGAUCUCUGGUGUGUUAUUCUCGUUGUUCUAUAUUAUUAUUUACUCUUGUUCAAAAGUUUAAUCAUCAUUAAAAAUUUGCAAAUAAAUGCUCUAUUAACAAUUGAUUUGUCACUUUGCAUUUAUCCCCACUUAAACAUCAGCGCCAUCAUCGUUUAAGUCUCAAUUUUUUUAAUUCAUAGUAAUGGCGACGCCCAGUUUAACUUCAUCCCCUAGACGCAGAAGCAGAGGUGCGCAAAUAUCAUACUUACUAAUGGUCAUUGAAGCAAUCAAAUUAAAACUGAAUUGGUGAUAAUGGAACAUAACAAAAGUUAUAGCUGUGAAGAGAGUUGGCUAUCGUCAAUUUCAUUUUAGAGACGCCAUAAAACAACCAUGAAGGCACAUGAAGGGCUAGCAGGGGAUUUUAUAACUACGAAUGAGAAGAGAAAGGGAACAGAAUGAUGCCGGCUGGUAAGCAGAUGGCUGCUCCGUUUAUUGGUUUAUUCGUAGGUAACAGCGAUAUGUUCCGCCUGAACUCCGAGUAGUGUCGAGGAAGAAUUUUAUAAUGGUGUACAUAACAUAAACAGCUGGUAUAAUCUUAAGAAAAAAACUUAUUUUGACUUUACGUCAGUCAUCAUGAAAGUCAUCAUAGAGAUUCAUUCAUGAGGUGACACAAAUAGUGAGCCAUAUCUUUCGCAGUAAUAUCAAGUGAAAGAUGAGUUGAAAAAUGUCAUCAAAAUUUCAUAAGAUUACAUUAGGUCGAAUAUGUACAAUGAUGAAUAAAAUGAUAGCAUCCCAGUGACAUAGCGAAAGCAUCAUUUCAUUUAGUCUAGCACGGUGGCGCUAUACGAACGAAGAUCGAUCGAUAAUGCGGUUGAAUCCAAGAAAUUGGAUGAUAGUUUGAAAACAACCUAUUUCAAAGUCAAUACGAUAAAAACACUAUGAAAACAACUUGAAAAGGUCAAAGGGUUUUACUUUAAAUAUGUUGAGUAAAAUAUGUGUUGACAUUCAGCUAUGGAUUUUGACACUUUCUUAAGUUGAAGUGAUGGAUUAUCGGCUCCGUUCUAACAAGAUUAUGCAUAUUCGCUUUUAAGAAGCUUUCUUCAUGUCACACAGAACAGUUAAUCCACAUACCAUGUGCGUAUCAUUAAACUGAAGUUUAAAAAAAAAAAACAUUUGUCACGAGCGCAAACAUAAAGAAAAGAGGCAGGAGAAUUUUUUUUUCCAUAAUGGCUGGCUAUUAAAAAAGACUCAUGGAUUGACAAGAUAAGCUGUGUCAUGGUUGACCUGUUAACAUUGAAUCUAUUUUUAAGUAAAAAUCAAUUUAAAUCAGUCAACGAUAGUGCAAGUAAAAUGUUACAGAUAUUGUUGAGACGUUCUUUAAGCACCACAAAAAAAAAUUAAAAUUGUGUUACUUACAAUGCUUUAUCUGAAAUUGAAGAAAAAUGAAUCUUGGUAAGAACAAUUUUUAAUUAUAACUGUGAAGAGUUAUCUUGAGUUAAUAUAUACACAGAUUAACGCUGUUUUCUUUUUUUUUUUUUUUUUUUUUUUACAUGAAUGUUUUUGAUUCGUUCUCAUUUUCGCGUUGAUAAACAAGAGAGACUCAUCAAGUUAGAUUAGGCAAAAGAGACGAUUUCUUUGAAUUUAUCAAUUUAAGUGAGUUAAUUUCAUUUUAACCCAUAGUGGUCACACUUCUUAAAAAUAGCGUAGUGGUCAUACUGGGUCUAGUUGACUCCAUACACGGAAAAAAUUGUUGUUACUUACGUUUUUUUUCAAUGUUUUCACUCGAGCCGUACAUGAGAGUAGUUCUUAAUACUUUCGUUGAAUAACUCAAUCGUUUUUUAAUUGUUUGAUUAUAAAAAAAAUGCGACAAAGUCAAAUUUCGAAAAAUUUCAUGUCA